rnacentral:rRNA from 1 species
UACGUAGGGUGCAAGCGUUGUCCGGAAUUAUUGGGCGUAAAGAGCUCGUAGGCGGUUCGUCGCGUCGGAUGUGAAAUUCCUGGGCUUAACCUGGGGGCUGCAUACGAGACGUAUGGGCUUGAGUGCGGAAGAGGGUCGUGGAAUUCCCAGUGUAGAGGUGAAAUUCGUAGAUAUUCGCAAGAACACCAGUGGCGAAGGCGGCUCACUGGCCCGGUACUGACGCUGAGGUGCGAAAGCGUGGGGAGCAAACAGG